rnacentral:rRNA from 1 species
UACGAAGGGAGCUAGCGUUGUUCGGAAUCACUGGGCGUAAAGGGUGCGUAGGCGGACAGGUAAGUCAGUGGUGAAAUCUCCGAGCUCAACUCGGAAACUGCCGUUGAUACUAUUUGUCUUGAAUGUUGUGGAGGUAAGCGGAAUAUGUCAUGUAGCGGUGAAAUGCUUAGAUAUGACAUAGAACACCAAUUGCGAAGGCAGCUUACUACACAAUUAUUGACGCUGAGGCACGGAAGCGUGGGGAUCAAACAGG